AACGCUGGCGGCAGGCUUAACACAUGCAAGUCGAGCGGGCGUAGCAAUACGUCAGCGGCAGACGGGUGAGUAACGCGUGGGAACAUACCUUUUGGUUCGGAACAACACAGGGAAACUUGUGCUAAUACCGGAUAAGCCCUUACGGGGAAAGAUUUAUCGCCGAAAGAUUGGCCCGCGUCUGAUUAGCUAGUUGGUGAGGUAAUGGCUCACCAAGGCGACGAUCAGUAGCUGGUCUGAGAGGAUGAUCAGCCACAUUGGGACUGAGACACGGCCCAAACUCCUACGGGAGGCAGCAGUGGGGAAUAUUGGACAAUGGGGGCAACCCUGAUCCAGCCAUGCCGCGUGAGUGAUGAAGGCCCUAGGGUUGUAAAGCUCUUUUGUGCGGGAAGAUAAUGACGGUACCGCAAGAAUAAGCCCCGGCUAACUUCGUGCCAGCAGCCGCGGUAAUACGAAGGGGGCUAGCGUUGCUCGGAAUCACUGGGCGUAAAGGGUGCGUAGGCGGG
rnacentral:rRNA from 1 species